rnacentral:rRNA from 1 species
CCUACGGGAGGCAGCAGUGGGGAAUAUUGGGCAAUGGGCGCAAGCCUGACCCAGCAACGCCGCGUGAAGGAAGAAGGCUUUCGGGUUGUAAACUUCUUUUGACAGGGAAGAGGAGAAGACGGUACCUGGCGAAUAAGCCAGGGCUAACUACGGGCCAGCAGCCGCGGUAAUAAGGAGGUGGCAAGCGUUGUCCGGAUGUACGGGGUGGAAAGGGCGGGUAGACGGGUGGAAAAGUCAGAUGUGCAAUCCUGCGGCUUAACCGCCGAACGGCAUUUGAAACUGUUGAUCUUGAGUACUGGAGCGGCAGCCGGAAUUCCUCGUGUAGCUGUCACAUGCGUAGCUCUUUGGAGG